ensembl:lncRNA
AUAGAUAGAGGGCAAUAGAUAGAGGGUAACAGAUAGAGGGUAAUAGAUAGAGGAUAAUAGAUAGAGGGUAAUAGAUAGAGGAUAAUAGAGGAUAAUAGAUAGAGGGGAAUAGAUAGAGGAUAAUAGAGGGUAAUAGAUAGAGGGUAAUAGAUAGAGGGUAAUAGAUAGAGUAUAAUAGAGGGUAACAGAUAGAGGGUAAUAGAUAGAGUGUAACAGAUAGAGGGUAAUAGAUAGAGGAUAAUAGAUUGAGGGUAACAGAUAGAGGCUAAUAGAGGUAACAGAUAGAGGGUAAUAGAUAGAGAUUAAUAGAUAGAGGAUAAUAGAUAGAGGAUAAUAGAUAGAGGAUAAUAGAUAGAGGGUAAUAGAUAGAGGAUAAUAGAGGGUAAUAGAUAGAGGAUAAUAGAUAGAGGAUAAUAGAUAGAGGGUAAUAGAGGGUAAUAGAUAGAGGGUAAUAGAUAGAGGAUAAUAGAUAGAGGGUAAUAGAUAGAGGAUAAUAGAGGGUAAUAGAUAGAGGGUAAUAGAUAGAGGGUAAUAGAUAGAGGAUAAUAGAUAGAGGUAAUAGAUAGAGGGUAAUAGAUAGAGGGUAAUAGAUAGAGGGUAAUAGAUAGAGGGUAAUAGAUAGAGGAUAAUAGAUAGAGGGUAAUAGAUAGAGGAUAAUAGAUAGAGGGUAAUAGAUAGAGGGUAAUAGAGGGUAAUAGAUAGAGGGUAAUAGAGGGUAAUAGAUAAAGUAUAAUAGAGG